AAACUAUGAUGUGGACAUUGAACCAAAAGCAAUUUAAAUCAUUCCCAAGUUUCAAGGAAUGGCUCACCUUCAAUUUGGGUAAAAGUAGCAAUCUUAUCUCGCAAUUC